rnacentral:rRNA from 1 species
AUACGGAGGGUGCAAGCGUUAAUCGGAAUUACUGGGCGUAAAGCGUACGUAGGCGGUUCGUUAAGUUGGAUGUGAAAGCCCCGGGCUUAACCUGGGAACUGCAUUUAAAACUGGCGGACUAGAGUUGAGUAGAGGGGAGUGGAAUUUCAGGUGUAGCGGUGAAAUGCGUAGAGAUCUGAAGGAACACCAGUGGCGAAGGCGACUCCCUGGACUCGACCUGACGCUGAGGUACGAAAGCGUGGGUAGCAAACGGGAUUAGAAACCCCAGUAGUCC